rnacentral:rRNA from 1 species
GAAGGGGGGCAAGUGUUCUUCGGAAUGACUAGGCAUAAAGGGCACGUAGGCGGUGAAUCGGGUUGAAAAGUGAAAGUUGCCAAAAAGUGGCGGAAUGCUCUCAAAACCAAUUCACUUGAGUGAGACAGAGGAGAGUGGAAUUUCAUGUGUAGGGGUGAAAUCCGUAGAUCUAUGAAGGAACGCCAAAAGCGAAGGCGAGCUCUCGUGGUCCCUACCGACACUGGGGUGCGAAAGCAUGGGGAGCGAACAGG